GAGCAUGGCAUAGUGGUUUGAGCAUUGGACUAUGACUCUGGAGACCAGGGUUCGAAUCCCGGCUCG